ACGAACGCUGGCGGCGCGCCUAACACAUGCAAGUCGAACGAGCGAGAGAGAGCUUGCUUUCUCGAGCGAGUGGCGAACGGGUGAGUAACGCGUGAGGAACCUGCCUCAAAGAGGGGGACAACAGUUGGAAACGACUGCUAAUACCGCAUAAGCCCACAGGUCGGCAUCGACCAGAGGGAAAAGGAGCAAUCCGCUUUGAGAUGGCCUCGCGUCCGAUUAGCUAGUUGGUGAGGUAAUGGCCCACCAAGGCAACGAUCGGUAGCCGGACUGAGAGGUUGAACGGCCACAUUGGGACUGAGACACGGCCCAGACUCCUACGGGAGGCAGCAGUGGGGAAUAUUGCACAAUGGGGGAAACCCUGAUGCAGCGACGCCGCGUGGAGGAAGAAGGUCUUCGGAUUGUAAACUCCUGUUGUUGAGGAAGAUAAUGACGGUACUCAACAAGGAAGUGACGGCUAACUACGUGCCAGCAGCCGCGGUAAAACGUAGGUCACAAGCGUUGUCCGGAAUUACUGGGUGUAAAGGGAGCGCAGGCGGGAAGACAAGUUGGAAGUGAAAUCUAUGGGCUCAACCCAUAAACUGCUUUCAAAACUGUUUUUUCUUGAGUAGUGCAGAGGUAGGCGGAAUUCCCGGUGUAGCGGUGGAAUGCGUAGAUAUCGGGAGGAACACCAGUGGCGAAGGCGGCCUACUGGGCACCAACUGACGCUGAGGCUCGAAAGUGUGGGUAGCAAACAGGAUUAGAUACCCUGGUAGUCCACACCGUAAACGAUGAUUACUAGGUGUUGGAGGAUUGACCCCUUCAGUGCCGCAGUUAACACAAUAAGUAAUCCACCUGGGGAGUACGACCGAAAGGUUGAAACUCAAAGGAAUUGACGGGGGCCCGCACAAGCGGAGGAACAUGUGGUUUAAUUCGAUGAUACGCGAGGAACCUUACCCGGGCUUAAAUUGCAGAUGAAUUACGGUGAAAGCCGUAAGCCGCAAGGCAUCUGUGAAGGUGCUGCAUGGUUGUCGUCAGCUCGUGUCGUGAGAUGUUGGGUUAAGUCCCGCAACGAGCGCAACCCUUACUGUCAGUUACUACGCAAGAGGACUCUGGCAGGACUGCCGUUGACAAAACGGAGGAAGGUGGGGAUGACGUCAAAUCAUCAUGCCCCUUAUGACUUGGGCUACACACGUACUACAAUGGCGUUAAACAAAGAGAAGCAAGACCGCGAGGUGGAGCAAAACUCAGAAACAACGUCCCAGUUCGGACUGCAGGCUGCAACUCGCCUGCACGAAGUCGGAAUUGCUAGUAAUCGUGGAUCAGCAUGCCACGGUGAAUACGUUCCCGGGCCUUGUACACACCGCCCGUCACACCAUGGGAGUUUGUAACACCCGAAGUCAGUGACCCAACCGCAAGGAGGGAGCUGCCGAAGGUGGGAUAAGCGACUGGGGUG
rnacentral:rRNA from 1 species